GAUGAACGCUAGCGGCAGGCCUAAUACAUGCAAGUCGAACGAGAUUAAGAGGCUUGCUUCUUAUGAAAGUGGCGCACGGGUGCGUAACGCGUAUGCAACCUACCUUAAUCAGGGGGAUAGCCCGAAGAAAUUCGGAUUAAGACCGCAUAAAAACACAGGAUAGCAUUAUCCAAUGUUCAAAUAUUUAUAGGAUUAAGAUGGGCAUGCGUGUCAUUAGCUAGUUGGCGGGGUAACGGCCCACCAAGGCGACGAUGACUAGGGGAUCUGAGAGGAUGACCCCCCACACUGGUACUGAGACACGGACCAGACUCCUACGGGAGGCAGCAGUAAGGAAUAUUGGUCAAUGGAGGGAACUCUGAACCAGCCAUGCCGCGUGCAGGAAGACAGCCCUCUGGGUCGUAAACUGCUUUUACUCGGGAAUAAACCUUUCUACGUGUAGGAAGCUGAAUGUACCGAAGGAAUAAGGAUCGGCUAACUCCGUG
rnacentral:rRNA from 1 species